rnacentral:rRNA from 1 species
CCGACGGUGAGGGGUGAAAGCUGGGGGAGCAAACCGGAUUAGAUACCCGGGUAGUCCCAGCUGUAAACUAUGCAAACUCAGUGAUGCAUUGGCUUGUGGCCAAUGCAGUGCUGCAGGGAAGCCGUUAAGUUUGCCGCCUGGGAAGUACGUACGCAAGUAUGAAACUUAAAGGAAUUGGCGGGGGAGCACCACAAGGGGUGAAGCCUGCGGUUCAAUUGGAGUCAACGCCAGAAAUCUUACCCGGAGAGACAGCAGAAUGAAGGUCAAGCUGAAGACUUUACCAGACAAGCUGAGAGGUGGUGCAUGGCCGUCGCCAGCUCGUGCCGUGAGAUGUCCUGUUAAGUCAGGUAACGAGCGAGAUCCCUGCCUCUAGUUGCCACUAUUACACCCUGGUGUAGUAGGGCGAAUUAGGGGGACCGCCGCAGUUAAUGCGGAGGAAGGAAGGGGCCACGGCAGGUCAGUAUGCCCCGAAACUCUGGGGCCACACGCGGGCUGCAAUGGUAACGACAAUUGGUUUCGAAUCCGAAAGGAUGAGGUAAUCCUCAAACGUUACCACAGUUAUGACUGAGGGCUGCAACUCGCCCUCACGAAUAUGGAAUCCCUAGUAACUGCGUGUCAUUAUCGCGCGGUGAAUACGUCCCUGCUCCUUGCACACACCGCCCGU